rnacentral:snRNA from 1 species
UCACCGCAGGGGAGAUACCAUGAUCAUCAAAAUGGUUUUCCCAGGGUGAGGCUCAUCUAUUGCACUUCGGAUGUGUUGAACCCUGUGAUUUCCCCAAAUAUGGGGAAAUCAACUGCCUAAGUGGGGGGACUGUGUUUGUGGUUUCCCCUG